AUUGAACGCUGGCGGCAUGCCUAACACAUGCAAGUCGAACGCGAAAGUCCUUCGGGGCGAGUAGAGUGGCGGACGGGUGAGUAAUGCGUGGGAAUCUACCUCGUAGUGGGGGACAACCCGGGGAAACUCGGGCUAAUACCGCAUACGUUCUACGGAAGAAAGGGGGCCUCUGCUUGCAAGCUCUCGCUAUGAGAUGAGCCCACGUCCGAUUAGCUAGUUGGUAGGGUAAAGGCCUACCAAGGCGACGAUCGGUAGCUGGUCUGAGAGGAUGACCAGCCACACUGGGACUGAGACACGGCCCAGACUCCUACGGGAGGCAGCAGUGGGGAAUAUUGGACAAUGGGCGAAAGCCUGAUCCAGCAAUGCCGCGUGUGUGAAGAAGGCCUGCGGGUUGUAAAGCACUUUCAGUGGGGAAGAAAAGCCUGGGGUGAAUACCCCUGGGUCUUGACGUUACCUACAGAAGAAGCACCGGCUAGCUCCGUGCCAGCAGCCGCAGUAAUAC
rnacentral:rRNA from 1 species